GACGAACGCUGGCGGCGUGCUUAACACAUGCAAGUCGAGCGGUAAGGCCCUUUCGGGGGUACACGAGCGGCGAACGGGUGAGUAACACGUGGGUGACCUGCCCUCAGCUCUGGGAUAAGCCUGGGAAACCGGGUCUAAUACCGGAUAUGACUCCAUGACGCAUGUUGUGGGGUGGAAAGCCUUGUGCGGCUGAGGAUGGGCCCGCGGCCUAUCAGCUUGUUGGUGGGGUGANGGCCUACCAAGGCGACGACGGGUAGCCGGCCUGAGAGGGCGACCGGCCACACUGGGACUGGGACACGGCCCAGACUCCUACGGGAGGCAGCAGUGGGGAAUCUUGCGCAAUGGGCGAAAGCCUGACGCAGCGACGCCGCGUGAGGGAUGACGGCCU
rnacentral:rRNA from 1 species